UUAGAUCAGAUAUUAGGAAGAAAUUCUUUACUGUGAGAGUGGUGAGACACUGGCACAGGCUGCCCACAGAAAGUGUGGAUGCUCCGUCCCUGUAAGUGCUCAAGGCCAGGUUGGAUGGGCCCUGUGUAACCUGGUCUAGUGAAAGGGUGUUAUCUCUGCCCAUGCCA